rnacentral:ribozyme from 1 species
UGCCCAGCAACUCCUAUUCCUACCUCCUCGCGGUACUGGCCGGGGUACGAGUAACCUUGGGGACGAUCGGGUAACCAACCCCCGGUGGGAACUUUGGUCGUAUGCUGACAGGGAAGG